CACCACAGAAGGUAAUAGUCCUGUAUGUUAAACGAGAAGACUUUAGAUAUGAUCCAGAGUACCACGGGACACGUGAAACCCUGUGGGAAGCAGGAGGGACCACCCUCCAAGGCUAAAUACUACCUAGUGACCGAUAGCGUAUAGUACCGUGAGGGAAAGGUGAAAAGAACCCCGGGAGGGGAGUGAAAUAGAACCUGAAACCCUGCACUUACAAGCUGUGGAAGCACAUUUCUUGUGUGACCGCGUACUUUUUGUAGAACGGGCCAACGAGUUACGUUAAGUAGCAAGGUUAAGCACUUAAGGGGCGGAGCCGUAGCGAAAGCGAGUUUUAACUGAGCGUUCAGUUACUUGACGUAGACCCGAAACCGGGCGACCUACCCAUGAGCAGGAUGAAGCGAAAGUAAAAUUUCGUGGAGGUCCGAACCCACGAGCGUUGAAAAGCUCGGGGAUGACUUGUGGGUAGCGGUGAAAUUCCAAUCGAGCCCGGAGAUAGCUGGUUCUCCCCGAAAUAGCUUUAGGGCUAGCCUCAAGGUGAGAGAUACGGAGGUAGAGCACUGAAUGUCCUAGGGGGUAUUGCACCUACCGAAGACUAUCAAACUCCGAAUGCCGUCAUCUUAUACUUGGGAGUCAGACUGUGGGUGAUAAGAUUCAUAGUCGAAAGGGCAACAGCCCAGAUCGUCAGCUAAGGUCCCUAAAUGUAAGUUAAGUGGUAAAGGAUGUGGGAUUGCACAGGCAACCAGUAUGGUGGCUGAGAGGCCGCCACUCAUUCAAAGAUGGCGUAAUACGUCACCGAUCGAGUGAUCGUUCGCCGAAGAUAUCCGGGGCUCAAACUUACUACCGAUGCUACGGCAUCA
rnacentral:rRNA from 1 species